rfam:Oryza glumipatula chromosome 11, whole genome shotgun sequence.
AAAAAGGCAAACCGCAGGUUUCCGUGCCAACGUUUGACUGUCCGUCUUAUAUAAAUUUUUUUUAUAAUUAGUAUUUUCAUUGUUGUUAGAUGAUAAAACAUGAUUAAUAUUUUAUGCAUGACUUAUCUUUUUAAUUUUUUCAUAAUUUUUUCAAAUAAGACGGACGGUCAAACGUUGGAUACGGAAACCAGGGUUUGUCUUUUU